rnacentral:rRNA from 1 species
CGCUAUAAGAGGAGCCCGCGUCCUAUCAUGUAGUUGGUGGGGUAAUAGCCUACCAAGCCAAUGACGGGUAGCCGGUGUGAGAGUACGACCGGCCACAAGGUCACUGAAACACGGGGCCUACACCUACGGGUGGCAGCAACCGGGAAUAUUGCGCAAUGGGCGAAAGCCUGACGCAGCGACACCGCGUGUGGGAAGAAGCUUUUCAGAGUGUAAACCACUGUGGCAAGGGAAGAAUUUUUGACGGAACCUUGCUAGAAAGCACCUGCUAACUACGUGCCAGAAGCCUCGGUAAUACGUAGGGUGCAAGCGUUAUCCGGAUUUAUUGGGCGUAAAGAGUUCCGCAGGCGUCUUUACAAGUUUCUUGUUUAAGCCUGAGGCUCAACUUCACAAAAGCGAGAAAAACUGUAAAGAUUGAGUUUGUUUGGCGAAGCUGGAAUUCUCUGUGGAGGGGUGAAAUCCGUAGAUAUCGAGAGGAACACCAAUCGCGAAGGCAAGCUUCUAAACAAUACUGAGGCUAAGGGACGAAAGCUUGGGUAGCAAAAGGGAUUAGAGACCCCUGUAGUACAAGCCGUAAACUUUCCUCACUAGUUGCCUGGUUAAUAAUGCAU